rnacentral:rRNA from 1 species
GUGCUGGAAGGUUAAGGAGAGGGGUUAGCGUAAGCGAAGCUCUGAACUGAAGCCCCAGUAAACGGCGGCCGUAACUAUAACGGUCCUAAGGUAGCGAAAUUCCUUGUCGGGUAAGUUCCGACCCGCACGAAAGGUGUAACGAUUUGGGCACUGUCUCAACCAGAGACUCGGUGAAAUUAUAGUACCUGUGAAGAUGCAGGUUACCCGCGACAGGACGGAAAGACCCCGUGGAGCUUUACUGUAGCCUGAUAUUGAAUUUUGGUACAUUUUGUACAGGAUAGGCGGGAGCCAUUGAAACCGGAGCGCUAGCUUCGGUGGAGGCGCUGGUGGGAUACCGCCCUGAAUGUAUUGAAAUUCUAACCUACGGGUCUUAUCGACCCGGGAGACAGUGUCAGGUGGGCAGUUUGACUGGGGCGGUCGCCUCCUAAAGUGUAACGGAGGCGCCCAAAGGUUCCCUCAGAAUGGUUGGAAAUCAUUCGUAGAGUGCAAAGGCAUAAGGGAGCUUGACUGCGAGACCUACAAGUCGAGCAGGGACGAAAGUCGGGCUUAGUGAUCCGGUGGUUCCGCAUGGAAGGGCCAUCGCUCAACGGAUAAAAGCUACCCCGGGGAUAACAGGCUUAUCUCCCCCAAGAGUCCACAUCGACGGGGAGGUUUGGCACCUCGAUGUCGGCUCAUCGCAUCCUGGGGCUGUAGUCGGUCCCAAGGGUUGGGCUGUUCGCCCAUUAAAGCGGUACGCGAGCUGGGUUCAGAACGUCGUGAGACAGUUCGGUCCCUAUCCGUCGUGGGCGUAGGAAAUUUGAGAGGAGCUGUCCUUAGUACGAGAGGACCGGGAUGGACGCACCGCUGGUGUACCAGUUGUUCUGCCAAGGGCAUAGCUGGGUAGCUAUGUGCGGAAGGGAUAAGUGCUGAAAGCAUCUAAGCAUGAAGCCCCCCUCAAGAUGAGAUUUCCCAUAGCGUAAGCUAGUAAGAUCCCUGAAAGAUGAUCAGGUUGAUAGGUUCGAGGUGGAAGCAUGGUGACAUGUGGAGCUGACGAAUACUAAUAGAUCGAGGACUUAACCAU